GUCAUGCACGUGGGUGCGGUGGCUCGCGCACACGUGCACAUAGAGCCCACUGAGGGCACGGUGGUCGCUCUAAUCCGUUUAUUUUUGCGACUUUGUAUAUCAUCUAGCCCAUGUUAGACCUGGGUUAUGUAUCAUCAAGAAAUUAGUCUUUGGGGAAUCGCUGGCACAUCUACGUGAUAACAUUGAUGGAGGAGUCUACAACGUAACCAUCUUUCGACAAAUCGUUCUUCCAUCUUCCGUGCCUUCUCCAGCACCUUUCAUUUACAGAUGUUCUUGCUGCCAUGGAUGCUCCUCCAGCCCUCAACCAGUGCAAACCUACAUGUACAUAGGGCUUCACCAGCGAAGAGGACUGGUGGUCUAUGCGUUUAUAUGUCUGUGGCAUGCGCAAAAUGGGAAAACAGGACGUGACAAGAUUUGGAAUGCUCCUUGGCAUGUUAGUAUUACAAACAAAAGACAAUGAGUUUCUAGCCACACAACUGCAUGUGUGCACAAGAUUUGAUGGAAAAUGGUGUCCUGUAUGCAGAGUUGUUUAGAGUAUGUGUUGGAGGUUCCUUUCGAGUUCUGUGAUGUUUUCCACCAGACAUUUUACCCACUUGGUGAUGUGCAGUCAGGAUGGGAGGGUGAGACCAUCUUUAUGCUAUGGUCAAAACUUGGCAGCUUUUCAGCUAAGCACACGUUUUGUCCCACACCACUUUGUGUGUCUAGUUCCUCAAGUGUGUGAACAUCAUGAUGGUGAUAAUGAAAGCCAAACAGCAGAAAGCCUCGAAAAAGAACAAAUCCAUGCCUCAAAAUGUCAGUGUUACGUCACGCACCGGUUCCAUCCAUGGCUCCAGAACAAAUGGAGAGUGGAGUUGUCAUACUACAGAGGAGCCUAAUGCAGCUAGUCCUAACCAAGAGAAGUCUCUUCACGAGGCAUGGAGUUCACCAGCCAGUCCUCAGAAGGAGCAAACAUCUCACCAGGAACCCAGUUCACCAGCCAGUCCUCAGAAGGAGCAGACUCCUUACCAGGUACCCACUUCACCAGCCAGUCCUCAGAAGGAACAGACAUCUCAUCAGGAACCCAGUUCACCAGCCAGUCCUCAGAAGGAGCAGACUCCUUACCAGGAGGAAGUCAUUAAAAGAAAACGAUGGAGCAAGGACAGGCCAAUGAGUGGGCAGCAUCAGUGGAGAGCACAGAACCUGAAGCGGGCUCAAGAGAGACUCAAGUUCCAGUGAGCACCCAAGUGACACCCACUCUGACAGUGAUGAGGAGCAAGAACAGUGGAUGGAGGAAACAGCAGGUGUUAAAGGUGAUAGCAGCAUGGUUGGUCCCCUUCCUGUUGGCUCAUUUUCUGGCAUCACUGAAAGAGUAAGGUGAUAGCAGCGUGGUUGGUCCUCUGCCUGUGUGCUCAUCCUCUGGCAUCAGUGCCCCAGGAGAGUGAGCCAUUACUUGUUUUACAACAUGAUUUGGGUUGUCACAACAAUUUGUUUAAAGAUUUGGGAAGGCCUCAUUGCCAGGUGAAUGUACUGCCACAGCUGUCCUUGAACAGCUGAACGUUGAAGCUGGCUAGCAUCAUGGUUUGAGUGGACUGGCCAAUGAAAUCUCCAAAGUGAAGAGGCAGGUUACGUCAUAAGUAGCACAGACCUCCUCACAUGAAAACUGUGGGUAUGCCCUAAGAGAAGCCAAUGCCAAUGUGAAGAGCGCCCUUGCCUCCUUCAACCUGGAGAGAAGGAAGCUGGAGGACAAGAUUCUAUGGGACUUCACAGAGAUGAUUCAUGAAGAAGUAACUCAGAUAGAUGCCAGUCUUUGCCCUCCAUCACUG